rnacentral:lncRNA from 13 species
UCUGUAACAUGUUAUAAGCAGCAGCUAAACUUCUCAAUUUCACUGUGAUUUCUUGCCUUUUUGGAAACUGACAAUAAAUUGGCUACCUACCAUUCUUGACCUUUUGACUUCUGAACCACUGCUGACCAAAUCUUAGCUUGCCUUGUUUAACUCAGUAGCUCUAGUAUCUCUCUGAUCCUCUCCCAGAGGGUCUGAAGCUUUCAGCCUCCUGAACGGGUAAGCUCCCCCUCUAGUGUUCACUGCUCAUCAAAUUAUUCCUCCAACAAAUAAGACAGGAACUGCCUGUUUUUUGAUUCCCUAUCGAAGGACGGAGCUUGAUUACUGUUUAAUGACACAAAGAGGAAAAGAUUCCUGAAGUGAUUAAUGAGGUCAUACAUCCUACCAGGAAAGCUAGAUCACCUGUCCCUUUCUGCAAAAAAAGACACUUGGAAUUUUGAAAAAGAUUGCAUUGAAUCUGUAUAUCAUUUGGGAACUACUG